rnacentral:tRNA from 1 species
GGGGAUAUAGUUUAGUGAUGGAACACUUGUCUAGCAUGCAUAAGGUCCUAGGUUCAAUCCCUAGUACUUAUA